UGUGGUGGCGAUAGCAAGAAGGAUACACCUGUUCCCAUGCCGAACACAGAAGUUAAGCUUCUUAGCGCCGAUAGUAGUUGGGGGUUUCCCC
rnacentral:rRNA from 1 species